ACUCGCCAAACUGGAGGUUUGGCUGGAACACUCGGCUUUACCCGAGGCAGGACGCUUGUCUGCCGUUUAGCAUGGCGUUUUUCAGGACGGACGGAUUUCUUCUCUGCUUGGGUUUCACCGUGGAGGACGCGGAGGAGAUAAAGAGAGCGCACCUGUUUCAUUUUCUCAGUAAGCAGAGAGGAGCUCAGGGGAAAAUAGCUCCCGCGUUCUAGUAUAGUCGCUGGGAUGACGUCAUCAGAUGAUGUCAUCGGCUAAUUUACAUAUUCAGUUUAAUUGUCGGGAGCAUUUGCAUAUCAGCGUUUGUUGCAUGAAAUAAUAGGUGUAUUUUCGGGGGGGGGGGGGAUAGAAAAUAAGUAAGCAAAAAAAAAAAGGCUUGUGGAUGCGCUGUUGUGACGUGUAUCAUGCACUCACCAGUGUGUUCAAUCAACGUAUCGGGCUGCGUCACACCAACCAGUAGUUGAUAGUUUUCCUAUAACCACACAUUCUGAAGAACAGUUCACCAAUGAUUACAGUUUGAAUGUAUUAAUGAACACGACAUCAUUUUUUUAUCCCUUCAUACUUGCGUUUAUCGUGUGUCGUGUUCACGAGACCAGUUAUCUCAGUCUGUUAUACAGUUGAAUUUGGGGAAACCACUUGAUGCAUUCGUUGUGUUUAACUAUUUUCAAUUAAAUUUUAUUUGUAUAGUGGUUUUUACAAUGGGUAUUGUUUCAAAGAAGCUUUACAGAAACAUAUAAACACAGGACACAGAUUUUAACCGUGUGAAUUUAUCCCGAAGGGAUAAACUCCGAAGGGAACACGUCCUCAUCUGGGUAACAAUGCAUAGUGUGAAAGUAAAGGGAAGUUCAUUGUGGUUUUUAUAUGAAGUCUGUUUCAAUUCCUUCUGUUUGAUUUGUUCGUUACAAACAGCGGAAAGUCUUUAAAUUUUGACAAUGAAUCUGAUAUGCAGUGGGGGUCGAAUAAUAAUUUUGACUACAACUGUACAGGGUGUCCCAAAAGUCUCCAUACACAAGGGACUGAAUAUGUUUGCCAGCAACACGUAGGUUGUGCCUUCGGCAGUGGAAGUUCAUGGAGGUCCACUUCCAGGUCGGUCCGCAACACUUCCAGUCUUUUUGAAUUUGUUCAUUAGUUCAACCAUCGAUCAGUGCCCUGAAUACUGAACUAGGGAGCUGGUUCAGACACACCCAGAGAAUGUUCCAUGAUGCCCUUAUUAUUGCUUAAUACAAAGUAGGUUACAGAUUUCGGUAUUAGGCUCGGUGAAUACCAAAAAACUUACCUGUAGUUGGACUGAGAAAAUUAUAUCGAUGGCUUGUUAAUCAAAGAUAUCGACCGUAUGAUCACUACUGAACGGUUUUCUUAUGGAAAAUGGACAACAGAACAAAUAAUAGCAGAGUAUAGAGAUGUCGUUACAGGUCAUGGCUGUCCGGACAGGGAAUUCUACAUGCCCUCUUUAAAGUGUGAGACACUUCCAGAGAGAAGACUGACCUGAUGAAUCCUGAAAAAGGAGCUGGUAAAUCUUCAUAGGCUGGGAAUCAUCACGAAUUGAGAUGCUAACUUGACACUGUUCUGACAAAAGAGUGCAACAAGAAGAAGAUUUGUUGUUUACUGUUGUGACAUUUUGUAUUUUGUGCUGUAGUACUCAGAAAACGUUGUAACUGUACAUGUACAUUAGGGGAAAAAAUCAGUGCUGCGCCAUCUUACUUUACUACAUGUGAUGGACCUUUGAAGGUAGUUUGGAAAAUAAUAUGUACUUACAAUAUUUUUCAUAAUGUGUCAUAUUUGCUGAUGCGGAGCUCCUGAAGACGGUAUCCUUUUUUAUGGUUAAACAAUAAUGACCAUGGCUCCCAUAGGUUAUUGGUGUGUAAAUGUUUUUAUGAUUUAAAAAAAAAAGGGAUUAGGUCAUCUAAUGGGACUCUGCUUCAAUUCCACCUUUUACUAUUCUUAAUAGUCACAGGAAAAUGUAUAAUAGGAGUUUGGAACUGUUAGGAUUUCGAAAGCAUUAUCAGGGAGUACAUAAAAACAUGUUUAUCAAGUAAUGGCUCUCUUAAUCAUUGAAAGCACCCAACCUUGAACCACAGUCAUCAUUCUGAAAUGCAUGCCUCCCUGCUCGCUGAGCCACCAGUACAAACACAAACCUGCUCCUAUGGGUCAUGCAGAAGGCAAAACCUUAACAAGCACUGGAUUACUUGUGGGUUAUUGGACAAUGGUAUUCAGGAUAAACACUAAGGUAGGUGAAGCCUUGUGGCUCUGUGGGAAUGCACUUGCCUCCCAUUGUUGUAGUUGAUGGUUCAAAUCCCCCUUGUGGGUUUCCCCCCCCCCUUUGGUGACAGUUAAAAAGGAUAAAUAUGUUUAACCAAAAAGAUUUUCAGUUAGAGUUCAUGUCAACGAUGGUGUUCCAGAAGGUGUGGGUUCUCUUCUACCUUUUGGCUACACGUGUGCCAUCGCUAUCCCUUGGUGGUGUAGUGGUUAGAGUUCAUGUGUGUGGGUUUUCAGGUUAUAACCCUCCUUUUGGCAGGUUCAAGAAUCAAAAGUGAUGCUGUGGAAGUAUGAAGGUGUGAUGGAGGGAGUGGUGUGUAGGCCUCUGUGGCUCAGUUGGCUAAGUCGUGAGUGCUGUGGAGCAGAAGGUGCUUGGAUCAAAACCCAGAAGGAGUGGCGUGGUUGGAGUUUGAGGGAUUGAGAGCAUGGAGGUGAGUGAGUGUCUGGUGCUCUAGCAGUUGUAGGUUGGGAGAUAGGUUGAGGAAGGGGUAGAGGAUUGGUUAUAGGUUGAGGAAGGGGUUGAGGAUUGUCAAGUCACUUGUAGAAGUGGUGGAGUACAGAUGAGGGAUGUUCACUCAAGGGUGAGAGAGGGAGGACUAGGUUGGGUGUAAAAGAGAGGUUGAGUGGGUAUGAGCUCAGGAUGUGGUGGAGCAAGGUUGUGCUGUGAAGGAGGUAGGAGAGUGCACACCCUACAGUGCAGACCAAGAAUGUGUGGUGAGGGGUGUGCACUGGGGGCUGGUGGAGAGGAAGAGCCAGGCCUCACUUUUAUAAAAGGAAAUUACCCUGCUACAGCCCUAAUAGUAAUAAUAUAUUCUUAAAUGGCUUGGGAUCACAGGGUCUACUAAUAGGAAGAAUAAAUGUAAUAUCUACAGCUCCACUGCUGGCUCUCACACACCCCACUUCCUGAGACUCUACCUCUAUUCCUUUCCUACACCUAUCCCCCAGCUCCCUUCCCCUGGGUACACAGCCCCUGACUUUUUAGCCACACUCUCUGUUUGCUCUCCAGGCUGUGCACCCAGCUCUUCUUGGGACUCCACCUCUACCCUCCUCCCUACACCAGCUCCCCUGAGGUACCUGACACUCUACCUCCAACCACCACCUUCCUGCACCCAUCUAGCCUCCACCCACUUACAACUCCUCCUGGAACACCACCUACAACCACCAGAGUACCCUUCCUACACCAUUCACCCCACCACUACCACCACCACUACUACUACUACUACCACUGUAGCCUUCCUACACCCAUCCCCCAGCCUACACACUCCAACCAUCCCCACAUUUUCUAUAAGCCAAGAACUCUUGUUGGGUUUUGAUCCAAGCACCUUCUGAUCCACAGAGGCAACCACUCAACCAGUUGAGCCACAGAGUCUCUCAGAUAGCGCUGCUUCCAUCACACCUUCAUACUGCUUCACACUGCUUUUAUUCUUAAAAGUGCUGCUCCUGCCAAGAGGAGGGUUAGAACCUGCACAAAUAACAACCACCACACAAACCUGGCCAUGAACUCUAACCACUACACCACAGAUGCACAGGAAAAGAUGCUGUUUGUUGGACUUUUGUCAUUAUAAAUCACUUCUUGAGGAGCCAAAAGGCA
ensembl:lncRNA